rnacentral:rRNA from 1 species
GACAGAGGGUGCAAACGUUGCUCGGAAUCACUGGGCGUAAAGGGCGUGUAGGCGGGAAGGAAAGUCAGAUGUGAAAUCCCCAGGCUCAACCUGGGAACUGCAUUUGAAACUCCCUUUCUUGAGUGCCGGAGAGGAAAGCGGAAUACCUGGUGUAGAGGUGAAAUUCGUAGAUAUCAGGUGGAACACCAGUGGCGAAGGCGGCUUUCUGGACGGUAACUGACGCUGAGACGCGAAAGCGUGGGGAGCAAACAGG